UCCUACGGGAGGCAGCAGUGAGGAAUAUUGGUCAAUGGAGGCAACUCUGAACCAGCCAUGCCGCGUGGAGGAUGACGGCCCUAUGGGUUGUAAACUUCUUUUGAAUAGGAAGAAACUUAUCUACGUGUAGAUAACUGACGGUACUAUUAGAAUAAGGAUCGGCUAACUCCGUGCCAGCAGCCGCGGUAAUACGGAGGAUCCAAGCGUUAUCCGGAUUCAUUGGGUUUAAAGGGUCCGUAGGCGGAUCUUUAAGUCAGUGGUGAAAGCCGACAGCUAAACUGUCGAACUGCCAUUGAUACUGGAGAUCUUGAGUACAAAUGAAGUAGGCGGAAUGAGUCAUGUAGCGGUGAAAUGCAUAGAUAUGACUCAGAACACCGAUUGCGAAGGCAGCUUACUAACAUGUAACUGACACUGAGGCACGAAAGCGUGGGUAGCGAACAGGAUUAGAUACCCUGGUAGUCCACGCCGUAAACGAUGCUCACUCGAUGUUAGCGAUAUACCGUUAGCGUCCAAGCUAAAGCGUUAAGUGAGCCACCUGGGGAGUACGCCGGCAACGGUGAAACUCAAAUGAAUUGACGGA
rnacentral:rRNA from 1 species